GGGUUGUGAGGUUAAGCGACUAAGCGUACACGGUGGAUGCCCUGGCAGUCAGAGGCGAUGAAGGACGUGCUAAUCUGCGAUAAGCGUCGGUAAGGUGAUAUGAACCGUUAUAACCGGCGAUUUCCGAAUGGGGAAACCCAGUGUGAUUCGUCACACUAUCAUUAACUGAAUCCAUAGGUUAAUGAGGCGAACCGGGGGAACUGAAACAUCUAAGUACCCCGAGGAAAAGAAAUCAACCGAGAUUCCCCCAGUAGCGGCGAGCGAACGGGGAGCAGCCCAGAGCCUGAAUCAGUGUGUGUGUUAGUGGAAGCGUCUGGAAAGGCGUGCGAUACAGGGUGACAGCCCCGUACACAAAAAUGCACAUACUGUGAGCUCGAUGAGUAGGGCGGGACACGUGGUAUCCUGUCUGAAUAUGGGGGGACCAUCCUCCAAGGCUAAAUACUCCUGACUGACCGAUAGUGAACCAGUACCGUGAGGGAAAGGCGAAAAGAACCCCGGCGAGGGGAGUGAAAAAGAACCUGAAACCGUGUACGUACAAGCAGUGGGAGCACGCUUAGGCGUGUGACUGCGUACCUUUUGUAUAAUGGGUCAGCGACUUAUAUUCUGUAGCAAGGUUAACCGAAUAGGGGAGCCGAAGGGAAACCGAGUCUUAACUGGGCGUUAAGUUGCAGGGUAUAGACCCGAAACCCGGUGAUCUAGCCAUGGGCAGGUUGAAGGUUGGGUAACACUAACUGGAGGACCGAACCGACUAAUGUUGAAAAAUUAGCGGAUGACUUGUGGCUGGGGGUGAAAGGCCAAUCAAACCGGGAGAUAGCUGGUUCUCCCCGAAAGCUAUUUAGGUAGCGCCUCGUGAAUUCAUCUCCGGGGGUAGAGCACUGUUUCGGCAAGGGGGUCAUCCCGACUUACCAACCCGAUGCAAACUGCGAAUACCGGAGAAUGUUAUUACGGGAGACACACGGCGGGUGCUAACGUCCGUCGUGAAGAGGGAAACAACCCAGACCGCCAGCUAAGGUCCCAAAGUCAUGGUUAAGUGGGAAACGAUGUGGGAAGGCCCAGACAGCCAGGAUGUUGGCUUAGAAGCAGCCAUCAUUUAAAGAAAGCGUAAUAGCUCACUGGUCGAGUCGGCCUGCGCGGAAGAUGUAACGGGGCUAAACCAUGCACCGAAGCUGCGGCAGCGACGCUUAUGCGUUGUUGGGUAGGGGAGCGUUCUGUAAGCCUGUGAAGGUGUGCUGUGAGGUAUGCUGGAGGUAUCAGAAGUGCGAAUGCUGACAUAAGUAACGAUAAAGCGGGUGAAAAGCCCGCUCGCCGGAAGACCAAGGGUUCCUGUCCAACGUUAAUCGGGGCAGGGUGAGUCGACCCCUAAGGCGAGGCCGAAAGGCGUAGUCGAUGGGAAACAGGUUAAUAUUCCUGUACUUGGUGUUACUGCGAAGGGGGGACGGAGAAGGCUAUGUUGGCCGGGCGACGGUUGUCCCGGUUUAAGCGUGUAGGCUGGUUUUCCAGGCAAAUCCGGAAAAUCAAGGCCGAGGCGUGAUGACGAGGCACUACGGUGCUGAAGCAACAAAUGCCCUGCUUCCAGGAAAAGCCUCUAAGCAUCAGGUAACAUCAAAUCGUACCCCAAACCGACACAGGUGGUCAGGUAGAGAAUACCAAGGCGCUUGAGAGAACUCGGGUGAAGGAACUAGGCAAAAUGGUGCCGUAACUUCGGGAGAAGGCACGCUGAUACGUAGGUGAAGCGACUUGCUCGUGGAGCUGAAAUCAGUCGAAGAUACCAGCUGGCUGCAACUGUUUAUUAAAAACACAGCACUGUGCAAACACGAAAGUGGACGUAUACGGUGUGACGCCUGCCCGGUGCCGGAAGGUUAAUUGAUGGGGUUAGCGCAAGCGAAGCUCUUGAUCGAAGCCCCGGUAAACGGCGGCCGUAACUAUAACGGUCCUAAGGUAGCGAAAUUCCUUGUCGGGUAAGUUCCGACCUGCACGAAUGGCGUAAUGAUGGCCAGGCUGUCUCCACCCGAGACUCAGUGAAAUUGAACUCGCUGUGAAGAUGCAGUGUACCCGCGGCAAGACGGAAAGACCCCGUGAACCUUUACUAUAGCUUGACACUGAACAUUGAGCCUUGAUGUGUAGGAUAGGUGGGAGGCUUUGAAGUGUGGACGCCAGUCUGCAUGGAGCCGACCUUGAAAUACCACCCUUUAAUGUUUGAUGUUCUAACGUGGACCCGUGAUCCGGGUUGCGGACAGUGUCUGGUGGGUAGUUUGACUGGGGCGGUCUCCUCCUAAAGAGUAACGGAGGAGCACGAAGGUUGGCUAAUCCUGGUCGGACAUCAGGAGGUUAGUGCAAUGGCAUAAGCCAGCUUGACUGCGAGCGUGACGGCGCGAGCAGGUGCGAAAGCAGGUCAUAGUGAUCCGGUGGUUCUGAAUGGAAGGGCCAUCGCUCAACGGAUAAAAGGUACUCCGGGGAUAACAGGCUGAUACCGCCCAAGAGUUCAUAUCGACGGCGGUGUUUGGCACCUCGAUGUCGGCUCAUCACAUCCUGGGGCUGAAGUAGGUCCCAAGGGUAUGGCUGUUCGCCAUUUAAAGUGGUACGCGAGCUGGGUUUAGAACGUCGUGAGACAGUUCGGUCCCUAUCUGCCGUGGGCGCUGGAGAACUGAGGGGGGCUGCUCCUAGUACGAGAGGACCGGAGUGGACGCAUCACUGGUGUUCGGGUUGUCAUGCCAAUGGCACUGCCCGGUAGCUAAAUGCGGAAGAGAUAAGUGCUGAAAGCAUCUAAGCACGAAACUUGCCCCGAGAUGAGUUCUCCCUGACCCUUUAAGGGUCCUGAAGGAACGUUGAAGACGACGACGUUG
rnacentral:rRNA from 1 species